GACGUAGGGGGCCAGCGUUGUUCGGAAUUACUGGGUGUAAAGGGUUCGUAGGCGGUCCAUCGCGUCGGGAGUGAAAAGCUGGGACUCAACCCCAGUCCUGCUUCCGAUACGGGUGGACUAGAGGUAGGCAGGGGAGAACGGAAUUCCUGGUGUAGCGGUGAAAUGCGCAGAUAUCAGGAGGAACACCGGUGGCGAAGGCGGUUCUCUGGGCCUUACCUGACGCUGGAGGAGCGAAAGCGUGGGGAGCAAACAGG
rnacentral:rRNA from 1 species